GAGUUUGAUCAUGGCUCAGAGCGAACGCUGGCGGCAGGCCUAACACAUGCAAGUCGAACGGCUCUUCGGAGCAGUGGCGGACGGGUGAGUAACGCGUGGGAAUCUGCCCUUUGCUUCGGAAUAACAGUUAGAAAUGACUGCUAAUACCGGAUGAUGUCUUCGGACCAAAGAUUUAUCGGCAAGGGAUGAGCCCGCGUAGGAUUAGGUAGUUGGUGGGGUAAAGGCUCACCAAGGCGACGAUCCUUAGCUGGUCUGAGAGGAUGAUCAGCCACACUGGGACUGAGACACGGCCCAGACUCCUACGGGAGGCAGCAGUGGGGAAUAUUGGACAAUGGGCGAAAGCCUGAUCCAGCAAUGCCGCGUGAGUGAUGAAGGCCUUAGGGUUGUAAAGCUCUUUUACCCGGGAAGAUAAUGACUGUACCGGGAGAAUAAGCCCCGGCUAACUCCGUGCCAGCAGCCGCGGUA
rnacentral:rRNA from 1 species